rnacentral:rRNA from 1 species
AGAGUUUGAUCCUGGCUCAGGACGAACGCUGGCGGCGUGCCUAAUACAUGCAAGUCGAGCGAGCGGAACCGACAGAUUUACUUCGGUAAUGACGUUGGGAAAGCGAGCGGCGGAUGGGUGAGUAACACGUGGGUAACCUGCCCAAGAGACUGGGAUAACAUUUGGAAACAGAUGCUAAUACCGGAUAAGAAAGCAGAUCGCAUGAUCAGCUUAUAAAAGACGGAUUUCUGUCACUCUUGGAUGGACCUGCGGUGCAUUAGCUAGUUGGUAAGGUAACGGCUUACCAAGGCGACGAUGCAUAGCCGAGUUGAGAGACUGAUCGGCCACAUUGGGACUGAGACACGGCCCAAACUCCUACGGGAGGCAGCAGUAGGGAAUCUUCCACAAUGGACGCAAGUCUGAUGGAGCAACGCCGCGUGAGUGAAGAAGGUUUUCGGAUCGUAAAGCUCUGUUAUUGGUGAAGAAAGAUAGAGGUAGUAACUGGCCUUUAUUUGACGGUAAUCAACCAGAAAGUCACGGCUAACUACGUGCCAGCAGCCGCGGUAAUACGUAGGUGGCAAGCGUUGUCCGGAUUU